rnacentral:lncRNA from 12 species
GGCUCAGUUAGGAGAGCUUGCCAACUCUUGAUCUCAGGGUUGUAAGUUCGAGCCCCAUGUUGGGUGUAGAGGUUACUUAAGAAUAAAAUCUUUAAUUAAAAAGAGAGAUUUGUAAAUAUUUAAAUUGGAUGACAGAAGUAAGUAAACAAAUAGAAUUGCUUGAUAGUUACCUGUUUGGCUGCAUUAGGGAGGUCAGGCCAGGGAGUGGGGGGAGGGGCCAUGUGUCUCACAAAAUGACCUAAGAGAGAGGCUGCAGGGGAAGGGAGGGGGUGUGAGAGCGAUUUCCCUGCCGGAUAAUGGGUGAGAGGCCUUUGAUGAGUGCCCAUUCCUGUUUCCUUCCUGUUUGGAACAGCUGCUGUGGCUUAUCCUGUGGCCCUGAGAGAGAUCCCAAGAGCACCAUGGAGGUGCUGGCCUGGACCCAUGACGUGGUGAACUAUGAAACCAGUUCCAGAACAGCACCACUGACCUUGCUGCAUGGGGAAGACAAAUCCACAUUGACCAGGAAAUUCCAUGAGAUGAGAGCUUUCUCCUGGCUUCCAUUCCCACAUCUCCAGGGACCCACCUCUCACCUUGCCGGCCAAUGUCAUCUUUGUUGUUCACUCCAUUGUGUGCUAUUUGACCUUGAUCUGACUGGCCCUCCAGGAAGUAUUCUGUGUCGUCCUUGAAGUGUCUCCUCCCUUGGCUUCUGUGAUAUCAGAUUCUCCUAGGUGUCCA